rnacentral:rRNA from 1 species
UACGAAGGGGGCAAGCGUUGUUCGGAAUGACUGGGCGUAAAGGGCGCGUAGGCGGUUCGUUGCGUCAGAUGUGAAAGCCCCUGGCUCAACUGGGGAGGGUCACGCGAUACUGGUCGACUCGAAGGCAGGAGAGGGUAGUGGAAUUCCCGGUGUAGUGGUGAAAUGCGUAGAUAUCGGGAGGAACACCGGUGGCGAAGGCGGGAUCCUGGGCCAGUACUGACGCUGAGGAGCGAAAGCGUGGGGAGCAAACAGG